UCCUCUUUACAGAGGCAGUUUGUUUCGAGUCCCCGGCAUUAUCCGCUGGUAACAAAACAUGAGGGUUGCGCUCGUUGCGGGACUUAACCCAACAUUUCACAACACGAGCUGACGACAGCCAUGCACCACCUGUGUAGCACCCUCGAAGGCGACGCCUUUUGGAGCGCUUGCAGCUACAUGUCAAGCCCUGGUAAGGUUCUUCGCGUUGCAUCGAAUUAAGCCAUAUGCUCCACCGCUUGUGCGGGCCCCCGCCAAUUCCUUUGAGUUUCAACCUUGCGGCCGUAGUCCCCAGGCGGUUCACUUAAUGCGUUAGCUGCGGCACCGAGGCUUACGCCCCAACACCUAGUGAACAUCGUUUAUGGCCAAGACUAC
rnacentral:misc_RNA from 1 species